UACGGAGGGUGCGAGCGUUGUCCGGAAUCACUGGGCGUAAAGGGCGCGUAGGCGGCCUGAUAAGUAGGGGGUGAAAUCCUGGAGCUCAACUCCAGAACUGCCUUUGAUACUGGGAAGCUUGAGUCCGGAAGAGGCGAGUGGAACUCCGAGUGUAGAGGUGAAAUUCGUAGAUAUUCGGAAGAACACCAGUGGCGAAGGCGGCUCACUGGUCCGGUACUGACGCUGAGGUGCGAAAGCGUGGGGAGCAAACAGG
rnacentral:rRNA from 1 species